rnacentral:piRNA from 1 species
AAACACAGGGUAUGUAGGCUCCU